AUUGAACGCUGGCGGCAUGCCUUACACAUGCAAGUCGAACGGCAGCACGGGGGCAACCCUGGUGGCGAGUGGCGAACGGGUGAGUAAUACAUCGGAACGUGCCCGAUAGUGGGGGAUAGCUCGGCGAAAGCCGGAUUAAUACCGCAUACGACCUACGGGUGAAAGCGGGGGAUCGCAAGACCUCGCGCUAUCAGAGCGGCCGAUGUCAGAUUAGGUUGUUGGUGGGGUAAAGGCCUACCAAGCCGACGAUCUGUAGCUGGUCUGAGAGGACGACCAGCCACACUGGGACUGAGACACGGCCAGACUCCUACGGGAGGCAGCAGGUGGGGAAUUUUGGACAAUGGGCGAAAGCCUGAUCCA
rnacentral:rRNA from 1 species